AGACCCCCCAUGUCUCAGCGCAAGCACAGGUUCCCUUCUGCCUGCCCAGUCCCACCAAAACCAACCGGAAUGAGACAUUCCAUUACUCUGUUUCCUGGGAAUAGAAGGAAGCGCCUCCUCCUUCCCUCUUACUGCCUGCUAUUGGCGCAGGCAGACCACACCCAUCCGUCCGGUGCUUGUCCCCAAAGUCUCAGGUCUCUGCAGAACCUUAGGCAGCCAGCGGCACUGGGAAGAAGGUGGGAGGCAUUGCCAGGCCUGGCAGGCCGAGCCCCACAUGGUGUCCUGGAGUCUUUGGGCACCCCACCAGCACGAUGGGGGAUCCCUCAGCUGCCUCCCAUCUAGACCGGCUGUCGCACGUGCCUGCCUACCCACCAUGAAGGUCCAGAUGCAGCCGACACCCCUACCCACAGGGUCUCCUCUGCCUCUGUGCCAGGGACCCUGUUCAGGAGGCCUCUUCCCUCCAGUCAGGACUCACCGUCCCCACCAUCACUGAGCCCUCUGGCUCCCAUCCACACUCCCAGCAGCUGGAGACACACCCCUUUCUCCUGGACCACCAGUCCUCCCAGGACUCUGAACUGGAGGGGCUGACACCCAGCAGGGGUGACAGCUGGCGGGGGGAACUGGAAGCCCCCAAGGAGCCACCCCCAGCCCUGGGCACAUCCACACAGGAAUCAUGGGUGCACAGGGCCCCAGAGCCAUAUGAGCUGGAUUCAGCCCCCAGCAGAUGGAUGGCCACACAGCAGGUGCUCACAGCCAGCUGCAGCGCCAGUCCCCUCCCAAACAGGCCCACGUUGGCGUCCCAGAAGUGUGGGGACAAAUCUACUCUUCAUGGGCCUCCAGUAGUGGUGACCUCAACUGACCCCUCCUGUCCUCUCCUGGUCACACCUUUGUCUCCCCCAGGGAGGCCAGGCCAGGAGCCACCAGGGCCCUGACCUCAGAGGCAGACAGGGGUGUGCCGACCCCUGGGGCCGGGCCAGGACCCAGCACAGGCGCCCGCUGCUCUGAAAAUGGCUGGGUUUCCUGGGUUCCCUGUGACAGGUGUGGUGCCCGGUGUUGAUGCCCUGCAGGCAGCUGCUUGGGCAGCCCUGGUCAUGGCUGGGUUCCCUCUCCCACACCACUUUCUCCUGGAGGACAGAGAAGGAUCUGGGGAAUUUCGUCUUUUGUCAAAAGCCACCAGGUAUCUCCCUGCCCGGCAGAGUCAGUCAAGGCUUCUGUUUCCAGGUGCAUUCUGUCAUUCCAGGUUCACUGUGCUGGAGUCAGCUGUGCCUGCAGCAGGGCAUCUGAUUCCUCCAAGAUCUAGAAACCAACGCUCCAUCCACCACUGGCCCGAGGAGGCAGCACCAUCAGGAAGAGCAAACCAGCCACAGUGGAGGCUCCAGGACGGGCACACCGCGGGACCCUCAUGCAGAGUCCAAGGCUGUGCGGUCAGAGGUCAGAGAUUAGAGUUGGGGAGAUGAGGAAACCACGCCCCCUACCUGUCACCCCGAACAUGCUGAGCAGGGGUUUGAACAGGUAGAAGAUCCUGAGACAUCAAAACAGAAAAGCUGUGCAGGCCAGCAUGGGAGGAGCAGCGUCAAGGCAGAGACGAGGCUGCAGCCCUGACACCAGGCUGUGUAAGGAGGGCAGCGUCCAGAGAACGGGGUGGGGCCCGGGAGCGUGAACCCAGGAGGGCCCAGCACUGAGCAGGGAGGGCUGAGGCGAGCAGGGGACGCGCUGGCUGGCCACGUGCGAAGACUGUGGCUGACGCAGGGCAGAGCGUGACUAAAUCAUUCAUGAUGGAAAUACAUGACCUGCUAAACCAAAUUAGACUUCUUCGUCCAAAUGGAGCAGUUUUAUGAAAUGUAACCACCUCAACCGAUGGUGGGACAAUCCCUCUGGAUUUUCACAAGCAGAGCUGUGCACGCUGGGCUGAAGAACGUUCCAGAAGGUGUCCAGGACCUUGGGAGGUCCCAAGUGAGCCAGCACAUCUGACAGUGACCGUCUGGAUGACCAGGCCGUGGGGCUUGGUUCUGACACCCGUUUGAUUUGAGCUGAAGGCGGACCACGCGUCUAACAUCCCUUUAUUGUGUACAUUGCAUAUUCCAAUGACUACAAUAAACUCUUUUUAAAAAGUAA